GGCGUAGAGGGCUCGCAGGCGGUUUCUUAAGUCUGAUGUGAAAGCCCCCGGCUCAACCGGGGAGGGUCAUUGGAAACUGGGGAACUUGAGUGCAGAAGAGGAGAGUGGAAUUCCACGUGUAGCGGUGAAAUGCGUAGAGAUGUGGAGGAACACCAGUGGCGAAGGCGACUCUCUGGUCUGUAACUGACGCUGAGGAGCGAAAGCGUGGGGAGCGAACAGGAUUAGAUACCCUGGUAGUCCACGCCGUAAACGAUGAGUGCUAAGUGUUAGGGGGUUUCCGCCCCUUAGUGCUGCAGCUAACGCAUUAAGCACUCCGCCUGGGGAGUACGGUCGCAAGACUGAAACUCAAAGGAAUUGACGGGGGCCCGCACAAGCGGUGGAGCAUGUGGUUUAAUUCGAAGCAACGCGAAGAACCUUACCAGGUCUUGACAUCCUCUGACAAUCCUAGAGAUAGGACGUCCCCUUCGGGGGCAGAGUGACAGGUGGUGCAUGGUUGUCGUCAGCUCGUGUCGUGAGAUGUUGGGUUAAGUCCCGCAACGAGCGCAACCCUUGAUCUUAGUUGCCAGCAUUCAGUUGGGCACUCUAAGGUGACUGCCGGUGACAAACCGGAGGAAGGUGGGGAUGACGUCAAAUCAUCAUGCCCCUUAUGACCUGGGCUACACACGUGCUACAAUGGACAGAACUAAGGGCAGCGAAACCGCGAGGUUAAGCCAAUCCCACAAAUCUGUUCUCAGUUCGGAUCGCAGUCUGCAACUCGACUGCGUGAAGCUGGAAUCGCUAGUAAUCGCGGAU
rnacentral:rRNA from 1 species